rnacentral:tRNA from 1 species
GGGGGGUUAGUUUAUGUGUUGUUGCUAGAAUACUGCUUUUGUAAAGCAGGGGGGUUGUUUUGUGACACCUUCCA